AAAAAGUAUACAAGAAAAAAGUAUACAUAGAGAACAAUUAAUUUCUAAAGGUGACUAAAUAAUAAUUUUUGAUUUUAAUACAUUCGAUAUAAAAGAAAAUAUACAAAUAGAAAACAGAAAACAGAAUAACUGUGAAAUGUGUUUGGAAUGUAAAUAGCUGGAAUCAAAUAAAUAAAUAAACGAAAUUAUAUGAUACAAAAGUA